rnacentral:sRNA from 12 species
GGCAGUCAUGCCUAAAACUGCCCACUGACGGCCAAACACGGACGCUGCUUGCAUGGCGGGGUAUUGCGCUAUCCCCGUUUCAUGUGUCGGGCCAAAGUAGUUUAUACGCGCACCUACAAGACAACUAUGCGGAGGGCGAAUACUUUUUAUUAUGACC